GCUGAAUCUGUCUCCCUUGGGCAGUGUUUUGGCGAAUCCGUUUGUGUUCAAUGGCGAUUUGAGCGAGGGCAGUGAGAGCUCUGGGGUUUCGUUUUUGGUCCCCUAUUAAGGGGGUGCGAUGGAUUUGUCAAAGGUCGGCGAGAAGAUUCUGAGCUCCUUUAGGUGUGCCAGAUUGCUCGGCCUUCUUCCUUCUGCUUCUGAUCGCCCGAGGUGAUUGAAAUUUCAGUUUUUGCACGUGAUGACAUCGACAGUGUUGACAUCAUGGACAUGGGGUUGUGGUUUGUCAACUAUUUCCAGGCCAAUAGUUUAUAACUAUUGCCCAUCUGUUCUGUUGAGAAUCUUCUAAUCCUAUUGAUGCAACGAGUCGUAGGGGAGCCACGAGUUCACCGAAGCUUUCAAAUUUUGCCCACUCACUCAUUGAUUGGCAUGUGGUUUUUCAAGCUUUUGCAACCACUUUGGGUCUGGCAAAGGUUAUAAUCUUAAUCGACAAGAUGCAAAACGAGGAGUCAAUCAUCACCGAGCUCUAA